UGUUUAAAACCUAUAAGAAGAAAUGUUUGCAUGAUGGAUGUCAAUUUAUCAAUAACACAAAGCACAAAGAGCACAUGUAUCAUAUACAACAGGGAUUAUGCAGAGCAGAAUGAUGUUUUUCUGUUUAAUAGGAUAUAUGUGUGUAUUUUUAUCAUUCACUCAAUCAUUUAACUCCUAUUUUGCUCCUAAUUACCCUCGGAAUAAAUAGAGCAUCACAUACAAUAUGAUAAAUGACUAUAGUUAAUGCUUUCAUUGUGUGCAAUGUUAGAAGGUAUGAUAAAAAAGAAGCAAUCUAGAUUAAUUUCAGUUUCUUGACAAAACCAGUAUAUACCAAUAUGAAUGAUUUAUAAAAAUGAAUAAUGUCUAUUGAUAAUAAUUUUUAAAUUAUAAUAUCUUGUUAUUUUAAGUCCUUUUAAACACUGUUUUUCCUUCUCUCUCUCUCUCUCUCUCUCUCUCUCUCUCUCUCUCUCUCUCUCUCUCUCUCUCUCUGUGAAAAAUACAAAACUCUUUUUGAUCUUUUAGUGUUAAAGAAUUGUUGUUUUAUAUAGUGAAAUAUCUCAUUUAACAUAGUUGAUAUGAUUUCAAAAGGCAGGGGGUUGUAAAAUUAUUAUUGCAACAAAAGUAAAUUUUCUUGAUUAUCAAUACAUGUACUGUAUAAAUACUAGCAAAUAUGUCAAAGAGAUUUCAAGACGGGACUGUUAUUCUGGAUAUGGUUUAACCUUGUAUGUUUUUCAAAUCCUUAUAUUCAUAUAUCUCAAAGUUUUAUCUCACUCACUCGACAUAUUUGCGAUGUCUAGGUUUACUAAAAUACAUCAGUAUUACAUGAACCAGUUAUUAGAAACAUUACAUUUAACAAAGUAUUUUGGAUUUGCAGGUUUUGAAUGAAAUUAAGUCUUGCUGCCAGGCAUUAUCAGAAAGGUUGGAACAGCAGAAGUACUUUUUUGGAGACCAGUAAGUUCCAUCUUAUCUCUACAAAUUUGGCAUUAGCAGCCAUGAAAGUAUUCCAAAAGAACCAGUAGCAUUUGAACUGCUCAUUAGCAUUAACCCCCACAAAGUAUAAUAAUUCCAUGAUUGUUUUUCUAAAAUAUAAAGCCUCUAAAGUCAAAGGAAACUAGAUCAUUUCAGUCAUAUACAAAUGCAGCUAUUGAAAUGAGAAUGAAUGAUUAAGAUUAUUGAACGUUUUGACAAGCCUACAAAGAUUUUUUGGUUGUCUACGUGCAUGACAACACAUAAGUUACAACGUUUAGCUGUCAGUCCCCUCCUAAGUUAAUUAUGUCAUUAUUUACCUGCCCAUGAUUUCGUAACUUUCUGGAAAUUACAUCCAGAGGUCUCAAAUAAUGUUACAAAAUGUUGUUGUUUUCAACGGCCUUGAAUAGAAAAGUAAAGUUCAGAUAAUAAUGAUAAUGCCGGAUUUGGUCUAAAUGGGAAGAGGAGGGACCUUUUGCUGUUCAACCUUGUAAGCCAUCACCUGACUAUCAGCAAACUUCAGUUAGUUGCAAAAUAAACAUGAUAGGAUUCAUAAUCAUGUAUUCUGCUCAAGUAUUGUAAGGGGAGCAUCUUGUGAACUCACAGUUCAACAGCGGUUAAAUCUUUCAGAGUUUGGGUCAUAGGGUUAAUGGUACUUACAGAAUCGUGUCUCACAACCAAGAUGGAUAGAAUUUUACAAACAUUAGCUAGUAACCCUUGUUUGACAGGCUUUCAUAAUGGCAGAUGACUCUUGUUUUUUAGUGAGAUAUAGAUUUAUCACAUUUUUGUCCGUGUAAGAUCGAUUUUAUCUGUGUAAGAAGGCCAUGUAUGAUUUUUUGUACUACAAUGAUAUCAUUUCAUAAUUACAUUACCGGUAUGCCCAAUACUGGAUUUUUAAAGAGAUAUUUUGUACAUUGUUUUGUACCAUUUUUUGAUAGGCAUGGUAGGGUAUUCCACCCCUAUUCCAGUAUUUCUAGGUGCCUGCAAUAGCAUAUCAAAUCAGCUGAUUUUAAUUAGAUUACUGUUUACUGUAUUUGGAUUAUUAACUUAACACAUGUGUACUGUAAAUUAAACAGAUCAAUUACAAUUAAAUUCAUGUUUGGCUUUUAAUUAGACAUAAGUUGUACAUUUUUUUCCCCAGGUUCAUGGGGAUGUUAUUUCUUGGAAUUAUUUGUAUGAUUUAUGAAUUAAUGAUGUGACAGUAUUAUAAAUCACUGAAGAUUUAAAUUUGCGAGUGAGGAUGAUCCACAAAAUCAGCAAAAAUUAAGCAACCGCGAAUCAAAUUAUUUAACUGUAGUAUACUUUUAAUGCAUUUAUCCCAUUUGCGUUCAUGUUUUUUAGACCCACAGAACUAGAUGCUUUAGUGUUUGGACAUCUCUUCUCUUUGCUGACAAUACAACUUCCAGCUGUGGAUAUAGCUGCUGACAUUAAAGAGUUUGUGAAUCUUACAGAAUUCUGCCAGAGAAUUGAAUCUAAAUAUUUCAAAGAAAAAGAGGAUGACUAGUCUUAUUUAGAAUUAGAAUGUGUACUUUCAAUAAUUAUAAUGAAUUACUGGUAGAAUUGAGCCAUCAUUGAGAACUGAGAUUGAACUGAUCAAUCAAAUUGACAGUAGCCUGGUAAAUGCAAUUAUAUUAUUAUAUAAUGUCUAUUGUGAAUCUGAAAAAUGGGUAUGAAACUGUAAAAUAAAAUGAUUAAUCUUC
rnacentral:misc_RNA from 1 species